rnacentral:rRNA from 1 species
CUCGUAGGCGGCUUAGUAAGUCGGCGGUGAAAUACCGAGGCUCAACCUCGGCACUGCCGUCGAUACUGCUAUGGCUAGAGUUUGGUAGAGGAGAACGGAAUUCCCGGUGUAGCGGUGGAAUGCGCAGAUAUCGGGAGGAACACCCGUAGCGAAGGCGGUUCUCUGGGCCAAUACUGACGCUGAGGAGCGAAAGCGUGGGGAGCAAACA